GAAAAAUGCCACUGAGCAUACCGGAAGAACAGAAAGUGAAGGAAGGGAGAAAGGAAAGAAGGCACAUUAAACCAGGCAAGAAAUAUGCCUCAGAAUGUGAUAUUUGGAAACAGAUUUGUUGAAGAUGUAGCUAGCUAUGAUAAGGCUAUACUGGAGUAGAGUGGGCUCUGAAACCAAAAUGACUGGUGUCCUUCUAAGAAGAUAGGGUGAAGACACACUGGGAGAGCACCACGACCACAGAGGCAGAGACUAGAAGGAUACAGAGACAAGCCAAGGAACACCAAGGAUGUCUGGCUAUCACCAGAAGCUAGGAAGAGGAAAGGAAGGAUUCUACCUAGAGUCUCAGAGGGAGUACAGCCCUGCUGGCACCUGGAUUUUUCUAGCCUUCAGAACUGUGGGAGAAGAAAUAUCUCUUGUUUCCUAAGACCUGUGGUUGGUGGCACUUGUAACAGCAGCCCUAGGAAGCUUAAUACAGUGGGCAAGGAGGCCUCAUCUGUGAGGAUGGCAUCUGAGAAAAGACCUGAAGUUGGUGAGGGUGUCACCAUUGCAGGGCUCUAAAACAGAGGCAGGUGUUUGCAAUUCAUGACUUCAGAACCACUUGGACACCAAAGAUGUGUGUGCCUCAUGCAGAGACUUCACUUCUCUUUCGUGGUAACUAAUGACUCCCGUACCCUCUGCUCUCUCAGCUUCCAAUAAAGGUUUUGAAUACCAAGGUAGAGAGAAUGGAGAAACAAGAAGAGAAUGGAAAAGAAACUGCCGAAAAAUAAUGGCUAAAGUUAUAUAGUGUCACAACAAGCAUUUUUAUUCUAAUUUAUUUAAUUUUGUUUAGGCAGGCUAAGUGGGUAAAUGUUGUGGGUGUGGUAAAAGGAGUCCUGGUAGGUGAAAUUACAUGAAAUCUUCUUAAUGAUGCCAACCAAACUGUUAAAAACUGAUACCUGGCAAUUAAAAUAUUUAUCCACCUAGAUUAUUACUACUUUCUUCUCUGCUCUUGGUAUAUGUCUCCGU
rnacentral:lncRNA from 10 species